CUUGGCAGCGAAGGGCUUGUCCACCAGCGAGCUCUUGCACCGUGAGCAGUGGAAACAGGCCUCAUGCCAGUGUCGGUCCUUGUAGGACAAGUCCUGCAGACCCAGAGCAUGCGUCACAGUGUGACCUGUAAGGAAGAGGAACACAGAACAUGCAAUUCGUUACUGCUUCUCAUUGGCAACAGGUUGUGAGUUCGGGCACCGCGCAGCCCUGCAAGUAUUGGCAGUUCCUCAAAAACUUAAAAAUCGGGUUACCAUAGGAUCCAGCAACUCCACAUCUGGAUAUAUGCAAAAAGAAUCGAAGGCAGGAAUUUGUAUACCUGUAACCAUAGCAGCAUUAUCCACCAGCACCAAAAAAAGUGGAAGCAACCCAAGUGUCCAUCAACGG